ensembl:lncRNA
AUGCCUGGGACGAGGCCCACUGCCCCUCUCAGUCGGCUGCCCAAGCAGUGUCUCCUGGUGGGGGGCAGGGAGCAGGUUGUAUUGGUUUGCGUUGCUCAGAGAAACAGGAUAUACACACAAGACGCUUAUUAUAAGAAACUGCCCUCGCGGUCACGGAGGCUGGGAGGCCCCGGGGUCUGCACGAGGCGGGCUGGAGGCCCCGGAGGUCCCCUUCCCCGUCCGAUGGGAAGCAGGAGAGGCCUGGUGUCCCAGCUCCGAGACCGCCUGGUGGAGGGCCGUCCGCGCUCCUCAAUCUUCGUUUCAACUGUCAUCCGAAACACCGGAACAGCCUGUGACCAGGCGCCUCUGGCUCGGUCAAGCUGACGCGGGAAGUUAACCGUCCCGCUGACCUUCUGAGAGCAGCGGCAGGUCCAGCGGGGUGGCCUCCCCCCCGGGGCACCCUCUGCUUCAGCGCUGACGGGUAAGAAGCAGGGAGGCAAAGCUGGCAAGCCAGUGGAGGCGGGCAUGGGUGCGGGCUGUGGCCCAGGGUGUGGGCUUUGAAGUCCUGCCCUGUGCGUCGCCCUGGCGAGUCAGCAAACCUUGGCCUCUGAGUUCCCGUCUGUAAAAUGGGGGUAAUGAUACGAGUCUGCAAGGCAAGUUCCCCGAGCUUUCCAAGCCUCAGUUUUNNNNNNNNGUGAACAGGGAGAAUGCUACUGUACCCGCCAUAAAGUUGCUGGGAGGGUGAUUAGGAGACCUAAAGCCCUCAGCACCUCUCCUGUGGUGUGUUCUCAGGAAAUAUUAGCCAUUAUUUUAACACCUACUUCAGAGCAAUGUUGUAAUGAUACAUUGUAUAACAAAGGUCUUUGAAACAAUAUGAUAAGACGGUCAUACUGUAUUUUUUUUUAAAACUUGGGAAGACACCAANNNGGCAAAUACUAUUUUUACGAUAACAAUGCCUGCUGUUUGUCAAGGGUGUGGUGAGCAGGCACCCACAAGCCUCCAGAGAGAAUGUAAUUUUUUUCACAAUUUGGCACAAUGCACCGAAGUCUCAAAUUGUUCAUAACAUCUGAUGAAUAAUUUCACUUCUAGGAGAUUGUCCUGAAGAAAGAGUCAGAAAUGAAAAUAAAGAUUUUUGUACAAGAGUGUUCAUCACAGAAUUACUUAAAAGAGUGUAAAAUUAAAAAAAAAAAACUUUAAGGGCUUGUUAAAUAAAGGUGGUUAUAUUUCAUAUGUCGCCAAGUGCAGGCCACAAAAUACUAUAUACACAGCAUACGUUCAACGGGACUUCCCCGGUGGCUGAGACCCAGUGCUCCCAACGCAGGAGGUCCAGGCCAGGGAAUGCUGCACGCAACAACUAAGGCCACAUAAGUAAAUAAAAAUAAAUAUUUAAAAAAGAUGUAUUCAAUAAACCAUUACUGAACUCCGAUUUUGUGCCAGGCACUCUUGGGCACUCAGUAGAGCCAGUGUUGGGUCCCACAUAGAUUGAUCACAAUUUAGCUUGGAAAAAGCUUACCUGUGUUUUAUUAUAAUGUAAUGUAAGGUGCUCAGUCGUGUCUGACUCUGUGGGCAGUGGGCUGCAGCCUGCCAGGCUCCUUUGUCUGUGUGUAUUAUUAAAAUACAUAGAAAAAGAAGGUACAUUUUCACGGUGGAAUAAUGAGUGUUUUCCGUAUUUUUCCUUUAUAUUUUCUUAUGAUUUCUUUUUUCAAAAAACAAAGAACCUGUAUUACUUCAAAAGUCAGGGGGAAGCUUACACUUUUUAAGGGAAAGGCCAGGCCUAGGUGACCAGGGGUGUGAGCUGGGUGUCGCACGGGAGGGGUGGCAGGGCCGGGCAAGCCGGGAUGAGAGACAGCACAGAGGCUUGAGCUUCCCUGUGCUUCUCUGUGCCGCUGACCGAGCUGCUUCCAAGCCGGGUCCCAACGAGGGUGAAAUGAACUGAUCACUCCUGCCUGCCCCCGGGUCAGGAGGACCAAGGAAGCCCCCUCUGUGUGCCUUUGACAAACACCUGCUGUGCUGCAGGACCCCAGGGUAGCCUUCCCCGGCCUGGCUCUCCCCGUCCGCCUCUUGGAAGAAGCAAGACAGGCCUUCUGCCCUGCUGGCUGGUGAUGGNNNNNNNNNNNNNNNNNNNNNNNNNNNNNNNNNNNNNNNNNNNNNNNNNNNNNNNNNNNNNNNNNNNNNNNNNNNNNNNNNNNNNNNNNNNNNNNNNNNUGAUGGACGCACGCAGGGGUCUCACGCCCACUCUCCCGAGAUGCGAGAUGUGAGGGCGCCUUCAGUGAGCCCUCCGGUGACGGCAGGAGGAAGAGCGGUCGGACCUCCUCACCUCCUCCUGUCCACCCAGCGCCUCUGCUUUCGGCUCCUGGGGGUCUUUCCACCCUUUGCCCCCUUGGACGGAGCUGGGGGUCUUGGCCGGGGCAGCAAGUGGUCAGCAACUUCUUGCAGGUACCCCAGCCAAGGCAAGGCAGGAUCUAGACCCCGCGGCUCUGACAAGUGGGCUGUCCCCACAAGGUCCAGAGUGGUGCGGGGCUGAGUCAUAUCACCGAGCCGAGCUUCUCCCGCCCUGCCAUUCCCGUGAACUCUUCAGAUCACUCACCCUGGGCCUGGCGACCACACGGUGCCCUGAGACAGGGCCCAAGAAAGCCCAGAAUUAGUCACCAGCUCAAAUCAGAAUCACACAAGCCAACGUGCCCGGCCUUUGCCCAGAGGUUGACCUUAAAAAAACCCAGAGAUGCUCCACCCCAUCUCCACUGCAGGCCACAGCUGGGGGAUGGUGGGGGGCAAAGGGCGGGGCAGCGGGCCAGGACGGCUCACCCCGAGGGCAGGGCUCCUGUGGUCUAAACCCGCAGCUCACAAAGCACGUUCGAGGACACGGCUUCGCUUGACCCGUGAGGAGCCCAAGCAGAGCGGACAGAAGCGUCGUCCUCCACGUGAAGAAGAGGGGCUGGGGGCGUCUGGCUGGGGUGCCCCAGGAAGGCCCCACUGGGGUCAGGCCAGCUCUGGCCUGGGUCCGCCGUUAGCCUCAGCCUGGGGGCACCGUGACUGCUCCUUGUUCACUGCCCUUAAAGAAGGCUCCUAGAGGGGCUUCCUGGGGGUCCAGUGGCCGAGAGUCCGCCUGCUGGUGCAGGGGACGUGGAUUUGACCCUGGUCCGGAAGACCCCAUGUGCCUCGGGGCAGCGGGGCCUGUGUGUCCUGACGACUGAGCCGGUGGGGCUGAGCUCCACCCCGGGAGAAGCCCAGACCGCAACUGCAGAGCGGCCCCCGCCCUCCGCAGCUAGAGACAGUCCGCGCGCAGCAGCAAAGACCCAGCUCAGCCGAUAAGCAAUCAAUAAAACUGUUUAAAAAGCUCAUAGAAAAUUUCCAGACAGAGAAGUGGAGGGGCCUUCCUUUGCUGUUGCCCUUUUGCAGAUCAGACAGGCAGCGCAGCACCCGCCCCCCGCCCUUACCCUUCCCACCGUUUCUUACGAUUUCAGAUUACAACGGGAUCACAACACUCACUCCCCCGACAGGUGCUUCAUGCAUGUCCCCGUCCCCACCAGGCACAGGGGCCACAGCAGGGGCAGACAUCCUCCCUUGACUUAUGGAGCUCACGUUCUGAUGGGAGAGACAGACAGAAAACAGACGGCUUCCCGUUAGUUGAGAAGAGAGACACCCAUGGCGCUUAGCUUGUGCCAGAGAAACAAAAGGUGGUUUUACCCAAAGCACUCUGCGGUUCCUAAUGUUUUGCACCAACAGCACCAAUGCUAACAAUGAUUUUAUAUCCUCCAGGCUUGAAGUGUGUGGGUGUGUACUUAACUUGAGCAGUUGUUACCCUUUUUGUUUCGCUUACCAGCAUUUUCCAGUCUCCCAGCAGUGGGAGGGAAAUGCUGAGUUUUGAUAACUUCUGGUGAGGUAGGGGGUUGGAGGUGGAGAAGCUUCCUUUCCAUCUGUCUUUGGGGAGCUUGGUGUACCAGCAAAUCUGGAGAAGCAAGGUGGCAGGCCUUAAGACGGGGGCUUCGUCAGAACAGCCCAGGAGAGCACCUCUGCUGUGAGCUGGGGCCUCGGCAUGUGACUCGGUCAUUUCUUGUCUCAGAGAGUGAUGGGGAGGGUCCGAAGGGCCACGGUGCACUGACCUCUCCAAGACUGAAGCGUCUGGAAUCAGUCCUGCCAGCCCAGUGACCCCACGGCUGCAAGGCCUGCCUCCCUUGGGGUUUGGGGGGACAGGCCUGGGUGUGUUUCUCCCCAGUGUUACCUCCUAGGGCAGCAGAUGGGCGGUGUGAGUCUGCUCUAACCCAACGGCCCCAAAGGCUGCCCUCCAUGCCUGGAGCAGGCCUGGUGAGAUCGGCUCUCCAGGAGAAUUUCUGAGUUCUUUCCUGCACUGACUGACGUUUCUUUAGGCCAUAUCUGCUUAAAAGUAUAAAGGCUGAAUUCCCAACCCCUCCAGAAACCUCCAAGGAACACGGAUGCCCUUCAGCAUUUGUCCUGGACGGGCCCAAAGGGAGUGAGGAGAAAGUUCCACCAGGAUUUGACAGCCACAAUGCCACACUUCCGCUUUGAAGUGACACCUGGCUGGCAGCUGCGCUCGUCUUUUUCCCCUCCCUCUCUCUCUGAAACCUCCCAAAUGGGAAACGUCCUUUAAAAUAGGAAGAAGAGAAGACAGGCUGCCCUCCCGGGGGACCCACGGUGGGGAUGCUGUUCUUAGCCCAACUUGACACCAAAUCCCGACCGCUUUGAGGUCAGCCUCAACUCCUGGAUUGAGUUUUGUCUGACCCAGUGAUCAAGUGGCCCCCUCACACUCAUUUCAGUCCCUUACACUCAAGUAAAGGCAGACACAGCUGUCGGAUGAGGGCAGCAAGUGUUUAUUGAGAAAGGGGAACUCACACUGCAGGGCCCAGUGUCCCAGCCGGUCAGAGCAUCUGAGUGCCCGGGGACAGAUGCUGGAACCCUCUGUCUGCAGGGAGGCACCCGCCCAAGUCCAGGGUGAGUCCUGCGGCUUCUUGGGAGCUGGGGAGAUGAAGGACGGGCCUCCUGGGGUCGCUGGCAGCAGGAAGGGGUGAGCGCGACAGCACCGUGCUUCCCACGCUUU